CCUACGGGGGGCAGCAGUGAGGAAUAUUGGUCAAUGGACGAGAGUCUGAACCAGCCAAGUAGCGUGAAGGAUGACUGCCCUAUGGGUUGUAAACUUCUUUUAUAUGGGAAUAAAAUGUUCCACGUGUGGGAUUUUGUAUGUACCAUAUGAAUAAGGAUCGGCUAACUCCGUGCCAGCAGCCGCGGUAAUACGGAGGAUCCGAGCGUUAUCCGGAUUUAUUGGGUUUAAAGGGAGCGUAGGUGGAUUGUUAAGUCAGUUGUGAAAGUUUGCGGCUCAACCGUAAAAUUGCAGUUGAAACUGGCAGUCUUGAGUACAGGAGAGGGAGGCGGAAUUCGUGGGGUAGCGGUGAAAUGCUUAGAUAUCACGAAGAACUCCGAUUGCGAAGGCAGUUCACUGGACUGCAACUGACACUGAGGCUCGAAAGUGUGGGUAUCAAACAGGAGUAGAUACCCGUGUAGUC
rnacentral:rRNA from 1 species